rnacentral:rRNA from 1 species
GCUUGUCUCAAAGAUUAAGCCAUGCAUGUCUAAGUAUAAGCAACUUUAUACGUGAAACUGCGAAUGGCUCAUUACAUCAGUUAUAGUUUCUUUGAUGGUCCUUGCUACUUGGAUAACCGUAGUAACUCUAGAGCUAAUACAUGCAUCCGUCCCCGACUUCUGGAAGGGGUGUACUUAUUAGAUGGAAACCAAUGCGGGGCAACCCGGAUUCUGGUGAUUCACAAUAAUUUUCGGAUCGAUCGUACGAUCGAUGCAUCAUUCAAGUUUCUGCCCUAUCAGCUUUGGAUGGUAGGGUAUUGGCCUACCAUGGCAUUAACGGGUAACGGAGAAUUAGGGUUCGAUUCCGGAGAGGGAGCCUGAGAAACGGCUACCACAUCCAAGGAAGGCAGCAGG